CGGGCGUGUGCAUCUAUCUAGGUGAAAUCGGAUGCAUGACAAAAAAUAUCUUUGUAGCUUGAGCUACACAAAAGUUUAACAUAUUGAUUGAUGAUCUGUAUAAAACAAAUUUUUGCCGUUUAUUGUACAUAAAUAUUUUUUUCAAAAAUUAAAACAAAUAGUUGUUUUAGUUAGAUAGAAGUAAAAUUGAUGAUUUAUUCCUUUGGUUUCGGGUAGAACUGUUUUUCAUCCCUCUCAUUAAGUCCAUCAGGUUCAAGAGUACGUAGCUGAUGCAUCCAGAACCUUUCUCUUUUUUUUCUCAUUUCGGAGUCCCAAUUUUGG
rnacentral:lncRNA from 1 species